rnacentral:rRNA from 1 species
AUAUCGCGGUGCCUGGGGCCGCGGUAGUACGGAGGAUCCAAUCUUUAGCCGUAAUCAUUGGGUUUAAAGGGUCCGUAUGGGGCCUUAUAAGUCAGCGGGGAAAGUUUUUGGAUUAACCAAAAAAUUGCCAUUGAUACUGUAUGGCUUGAAUAUUUGUGAAGUAACUAGAAUAUGUAGUGUAGCGGUGAAAUGCUUAGAUAUUACAUGGAAUACCAAUUGCGAAGGCAGGUUACUAACAAAUGAUUGACGCUGAUGGACGAAAGCGUGGGUAGCGAACAGGAUUAGAUACCCGAGUAGUC